CUGCGCUUUUCAGUUUGUUGGUGAGGUAAUGGCCACAGACUAUUACAGGUACGGGCUCUGAGAGGAGUAGCCCGGAGAUGGGUACUGAGACACGGACCCAGGCCCUAUGGGGCGCAGCAGGCGAGAAAACUUUGCAAUGUGCGAAAGCACGACAAGGUUAAUCCGAGUGGUUUGUGCUAAACGAACCUUUUGACAGUCCUAGAAACACUGUUGAAUAAGGGGUGGGCAAGUUCUGGUGUCAGCCGCCGCGGUAAAACCAGCACCUCAAGUGGUCAGGAUGAUUGUUGGGCCUAAAGCAUCCGUAGCCGGCUCUGUAAGUUUUCGGUUAAAUCUGUACGCUUAACGUACAGGCUGCCGGGAAUACUGCAGAGCUAGGUAGUGGGAGAGGUAGACGGUACUCGGUAGGAAGGGGUAAAAUCCUUUGAUCUAUUGAUGACCACCUGUGGCGAAGGCGGUCUACCAGAACACGU
rnacentral:rRNA from 2 species